rnacentral:lncRNA from 1 species
AUGCAGCCAUCAGAAGAGAGCUGGCAGCAAGAGAUCAGGGACCUGAAGGAACUUCUGGUGGGGAAAGACCAGCAGAUCUGCAGGGUGGAGCAGGAGAGGAGAACGCUGGCUGAGGCUCACGUGGACACCUUGGCCCUGCUGAGCAGCACGCAGGCGGCACUAAAGCAGGAGGAAGGAAAAUGUGCCCGUCUCCAAGAACAGUGCAGCAAGAAGCUGGAUGAUGAGGAGCUGAGACACCAGACGCAGCUCAAGACCAAGCAGAUGGUGUCCGACCUCACAAAAAAGUCUGAAGUGAUCUGGACGGAGACCCAGAGGAAGCUGGAGGAGAUGCUGGGGAACCAGGAAAGGAUCUCGGAGGAAAAGGAGAGCUCCAACAGGAAGGAGAUCCACCUCCUGACCGAGAGAAUCGUCCAGCUGCAGCAACUCCUCCGUGAAAAAGAAACAAAGAAGAACCAAAAGAUGAAGUUCAGAAUAAUGAAGUUCUUCUUUGGAAGAUAAACAAAGAGACAAAAUAAUUCUGAUCCUGAGCUGGACAUUCUAUUAUUACUACUCUAUUGCAGGCCUGGAUUCGAACCAACAACCUGCCGCAGAGAAGUCAGCGGCUUAAACCACUGCCCUAUGCAGUCACACUAACCCACCGCAAAGAGGUCAUAUAUGGUUAAAAAAAGCCAUAAUUUGAAUAUCAUCUGUGGAUGUGAUUUCUGUGUCAACACAAAUUCCAUAUUUUCACAGCAUGUGAAGAAAAACAUCUGUGUGAAGAAUAUUUAAUCAUGGCUUUUUUUUAAACCAUAUAUGACCUCUUUGCAGUGGUUUAGUGUGACCGCAUAGGUCAGUGGUUUAAGCCACUGACUUUUUUUUUGCCGACGGUUGUUGGUUCGAAUCCAGGCGGGACUUUGGUUUGAAGAAUCAAUAUUCUUCACACAUAUGUUUUUGUUUUUUUAUACAUCAAUUGUAUAACUUUUUCCAUUUUUAGUUUGUGAUUCAUUGCUGGAAUAGUUACAGGGGUGCUGAUUUAUAAGCUGUCGUCCGAUCCUCUUUCCCACCAUACAGUAAUUUCUAAAGAGGAUACUUGGUCCUAAAAAUUGUGAUGCAAUUCAUGACAGUCACCACGGUAAAACCAAAAACGUGUGUGAAGAAUAUUGAUUCUUCAAACCAAAGUCCCACCUGGAUUUGAACCAACAACCUUCUGCAAAGAAGUCAGCAGCUUAAACCACUGACCUAUAUAUCAAUAUCAAUAUCAAUCUUUAUUUAUAUGGCACUUUUCAUACGCUAGGUAGCACAAAGUGCCUCACAAAGGAUAAAAACAGCAAAGAGAACAAGAGAAUCAAGAAAAGGACACACACACACAUGCAUACAACACACUUGCACACACAAACAAGCUUAGGCAAGUUGAGACAUGGCUGGGCACCGAGACCUGAGGCGAAGGAGACGCCACCUUUGGAGGCCCACCAGGCCGAGGGGGGUCACGGUCCGUGACCACAGGUGGUACCGCCACAAAGACCACCCCGACCCGGACAGACCGGAGGCUCCACACCAAAGCACAGAGCCCCCUAACCACCCAGGCCAGGGUCGACAAUGGGACAGCACCCCCAGCGGUAGACCGGAAACAACUCCCAGCCUGGCAGGCCCCCAUGAGGAAACACCAUGAGGAGACACUGGAGCUAAAAACUGAAGGCAUGAGACAGUAAAUGGGUUAAAAGGUAUAAAAGCUAAAAGCUGAGGAACUAAGAAUUGAAGUAUUAAAACAGUACUAAGACUAAAACAGACUAAAACAGUAAAUGGGAUAAAAGGUGUAAAGACUAAAAACUGAGAGACUAAGAACUGAGGGAGUAAAACAGUAAAAGUGUCAAGUAAAAUAAGGAUAAGACAUAAAGAAGCAUGAAGACAUAAAAUAAAUUGAAAAUAAUCAGAAAAUCAAUUAAAGGCCUGAUUAAAAAGGUGUGUCUUGAGCCUCUUUUUAAAAAUCUCAACAGUCUCUGCGGCCCUGAGGUUCUCCGGCAGGCUGUUCCACAGUCGGGGACCAUAAUAACUGAAGGCCGCUUCCCCGUGCGUUUUAGUGCUUACAUGUGGAAUGGUUAAAAGGCCGGUGCCGGAGGACCUCAGAGUCCACGAGGGUUGAUAGAAUAAAAGCAGGUCAGAUAAAUAAGUCAGGCCAAGACCAUUAAGACAUUUAAAAACUAAUAAAAGAACCUUAAAAUCGAUCCUGAAACGCACGGGUAGCCAAUGCAGCGAUUCUAAAACUGGUGUGAUGUGCUCCCGCCCUCUGGUCCUCGUCAGCACUCGUGCAGCUGAGUUUUGUAAUAAUUGUAGGUUUGUGAUGCUCUUUUUUGGAAGACCAGAGAGCAGGGCAUUACAAUAAUCUAAACGACAAGAGAUAAAAGCGUGCAUCAGCACCUCCGUGCUGGCCUGAGAGAGAAACGGGCGGACUCUGGCUAUAUUCUUCAGGUGGUAAAAACCUACCUUUGUUAUGUUUUUGAUGUGUGGAAUAAAACUAAGCUCAGAGUCAAAGAUCACACCCAGAUUUUUUACAGAUUGAGAUGGCUUAAAAUCCUUCAAUUUUGGAAAAAGUUUCUCUCUCUGACCUUCAGGACCAAUGACUAAGACCUCUGUUUUGUCCUGGUUGAGCUGGAGAAAGUUUUCUGCCAUCCAUGACUGGAUAUCUAGAAUACAGUUAAAAAGGGCAUCAACUGGCCCUGUGUCACCAGGAGCCACGGCGAUGUACAGCUGCGUAUCGUCAGCAUAGCUGUGGAAGCUGAUGCCGUGGCUCCUGAUGACGUCCCCAAGAGGAAGCAUGUAAAGAUUAAAAAGGGUUGGACCGAAGAUUGACCCUUGGGGAACCCCACACUUUGUCUCAUGGAUUCUCGAGGAAGCUUCGAAGCUUCGAUCAGUAAGGUAGGAGGUGAACCAGUUAAGAACAGUACCAGAGAGACCGACCAGGUUCUUCAGUCUAUUCAAUAAAAUAUGGUGGUCUACUGUAUCAAAAGCGGCGGUCAGAUCCAGUAGAACCAACACCGUGAGCUUUUUGUUGUCUAGGUUACACCUGAUGUCAUUUAAAAUCUUUAAAAGGGCUGUCUCUGUACUGUGGUUCAUCCUAAAACCAGACUGAUGUCUCUCUAAAAUAUCAUUUGAGUUUAAAAAAUCAUUUACUUGGUUAAAAACAAGUUUUUCUAAAAUUUUACUUAAAAAUGGUAGGUUGGAUACUGGCCGAUAGUUAUUUAAAACGCUGGGGUCUAGAUUGCUCUUCUUCAGAAGGGGCUUCACCACCGCAGUUUUAAAGGAGGUGGGGAAGACACCCGUCUGAAGAGAGCAAUUCACCAUAUAUAAGAGAGUUCCUCAAAGAAUCCAUAAAAUGUUUUGAAAAACGGUGUGGGAAUUGGGUCUAAAAGGCAGGUUGUGGGCCUAACUUGGGAGAAAACUCGACCAAGUGUCCUCGCAUCAACCAGGACAAAACUCUCCAGUGUCUCCUCAGGUGAGAGCAAUGAUCCAGGAGUGUUGUUGAUUAAAAUUUGCUGUGAUAAAAGACUGGAUCUAAUAUUAUCGAUUUUACUCCUGAAGUGGUCUGCAAAGGCCUCGCAGAGGGUGUCAGUCGUUGUUGUGGGACACCUAUUAAAAUUACCAUUGGUUAAAAGCUCAAUGGUGUGGAAUAGAAAUUUGGGGUUGUUUUUAUUGUUGGAGAUUAGUUUUUUGAGAUGAGAGGUUCUUGCCUGCUUGAUUGUGUUAUUGUAGGUUUUGAGGUGUUGAUAAAAUAUUUCUUUAUGGAUGGUCAGUUUGGAUUUCCUCCACCUCCUCUCAGCACUCCUGCAGGUUCUUUUCAGUUUUCUAGUUUCUUCAUUUCUCCACGGUGGUGCACGUUUUGUUCUUACAGUUUUUGCGACAAGUGGAGCCACAGAGUCCAGCGUUGACUUUAAUUUAUUGUUAAAAGUGUGAACAAUAAAAUCACACGGUGCUGGUAAAAGUUCUGCAGGAGUGCUCUGUAAAAUCUGGAUAAAAUUUGCAGCCACUUCAGGAGUCAGGUAGCGUCUCCUCACCGUUCUCACAGGGGACCCCUGCUAUAUAGUCACGCUUACCCACUGCAAA